rnacentral:lncRNA from 1 species
AUGUAGUUUCAAUUUUGCUUUAUUUGAUCAAAGCACUUUUAUUUUCAUGUCGUCGAAAUGAUUAAUUUCUUAUUUUAAUAUAAGUAGCAUUUUCAAAUUUUGGAAAGGCUUCAGAGUUUCAGAAACUAUAUAAUAAUAACCUCUCACUACACAUUUCUUUUAUACUGGACCUAUAUAUAAGACUUUCCAUUGGUAUGUACCAGUUGAUUGUGCA